rnacentral:rRNA from 1 species
AUUGAACGCUGGCGGCAGGCCUAACACAUGCAAGUCGAGCGAGCGGCGGACGGGUGAGUAACGUAUGGGGAACCGCCCGAUAGAGGGGGUUCACUACUGGAAACGGUGGGUAAUACCGCCUACUAUCCGCUGAACCCAUAUUGGAUGAGCUAGUAGGUGGGGUAAAGGCUCCCAUAGGCGACGAUCGCUAGCUGGUCUGAGAGGCUGAUCAGCCACACGGGGAUUGAGACACGGCCCAGACUCCAACGGGAGGCAUAAGUGGGGAAUAUUGCACAAUGGGCGAACGCCUGCUCCAGCAAUGCCGCGUGGGUGAGGAAGGUCUUCGGAUGGUAAAGCACUUUAAUUUGGGAGGCGUUACCAAAAGAAAAAGCACCGGCUAACUUCGUGCCAGCAGCCGCGGUAAUUC